rnacentral:misc_RNA from 1 species
UCAAAUAAUAUAAAAAAUAAUAUAUAUAUUGACAUGGAUUAAACAAAGAUAUAUAUUAUUCUAUGUUGUAUAAACAAAUUGGCAAAAUAGAGAUGGAAGAUAAAAAUAUGGUCAAAGUAAUAAGAGUCUAUGGUGAAUGCCUAGGAGCUUUAAGGCGAAGAAGGUCGUGGUAAGCUGCGAAAAGCUUGGGGGAAAAGCAAACAUUUAUUGAUCCCAAGAUUACCGAAUGGAAUAAUCCAGCUAGCAAGAUGCUAGCUAUCUAUUAUCUAAAUAAUAGAGGCGAUACC